CUUCCAGCAUGCGGCUCCGGGACGCCGGGGCAGGCCCAGCAGCGUGCCCUCCAACCUGGCCCCACUCAGCGUGGGCCCUAGGGGAUGCGGAGCAUCAGGGAGGCGGCAAGCGGCCACAGCGCCCAGUUUCGCAUCAGUUUCCCUGACCUAGAAAUCCUCUGUGCCCUCCCUAUUCAUUCCUCCCUCUGACCCUGGCAACCACUGAUCUUUCUACCGUCUCUGUACUUCAGCCUUUUCCAAAAUGUCACAUAGUUGGAAUCAUACAAAGACCUAUUUACACAAGAAAAGGUUGGUGGUAACUCCGAGCCAGAAGAGGGAAGUGACCCGAGUGGGAGUGAGUUUGUUGCGAAUGCAAGUUCAGCUGUCUCUUGCUCUCAAUCUGGCCAUGCGAUGCCUUCUACCAUGUUAUGAAAUAGCAAGAAGGCCCUCACCAAAUGCAUCCUCGUUAUCUUGGACUUUCUGACCUCAGCAAC